rnacentral:rRNA from 1 species
GAUGAACGCUAGCUACAGGCUUAACACAUGCAAGUCGAGGGGAAACGACAUCGAAAGCCUGCUCUUGAUGGGCGUCGACCGGCGCACGGGUGAGUAACGCGUAUCCAACCUGCCCAUCACUUGGGAAUAACCUUGCGAAAGUAAGACUAAUACCCAAUGUCAUCCCACGAAGUCAUCUGAAUGGGAUUAUAGUUUUAUCGGUGAUGGAUGGGGAUGCGUCUGAUUAGCUUGUUGGCGGGGUAACGGCUCACCAAGGCAACGAUCAGUAGGGGUCCUGAGAGGAAGGUCCCCCGGAAUGGAGCUAAGGCACAGACCAAACUGCUACGGGAGGCAGCAGUAAGGAACACUAGGCAAUGAGCGAGAACCUAAAACAGCCAAGUAGCGUACAGGAUGACGGGCCUAUGGGUUGUAAGCUGCUUUUGUAAGGGAAUAGAGUGGGUCUCGUGGGACUUUUUGCAUGUACCUUAUGAAUAAGGACCGGCUAAUUCCGUG